UUGAACCUUUGCUCUCAAUUCCCUUACCCUUUUAUGUUUCAAGAUGGAGCAUUUUAAUAAGUUCCAAAGAAAAAAAUCAUCAAAUCCUUCAUAUGAUUUGUAUAUUUCAAAAUUUACUUCAACUACCGCUCGUACUUGAUCGUUGAUGUUGGAUACUUCUUUUUUUUUUACUGGUUGAGUUUUGAUUUUUCCCACCUUCUUUUUCACCUAGAUUAGUACGUU
rnacentral:lncRNA from 1 species